GCAAAAGGAACCCGAAGCCUUCGGAGCGCAGUGCGAGUUCCCCCUGUGCUCCAGAGGCUUCGGGUUCCUUUUGC
rnacentral:miRNA from 1 species